CAAAUGUUGAUCUGACACGACCUGAUUUUUGGGCUAAACAGAUUUUAGGCCCCACCAUGGUUUUCUGUUUGCAGGUUGAAGAUGUGUUUGGCAUCGUGGCCACUAAAUCAACGGUCCCUAUCACCUCGUUAAAGAAUUUUGUCGCUUUGAAGUAUGACUUGUCAGGUCUCCAGUUAGGGGUGGAAAUGGGCUGGGCCCACCUAAUGAGUCACUGGACAAGAUGGUCAUAUGUCCAAAAUUGGAACUUAUUGUGCAAGUUUGGAUUUUCGCCUUUGGUGGGACACAAUCGCCUCUGUUUCCCUGUUUCCCUGUUAAACAAUCUCUGUUUCCCUGUUACAUAAGGUCCUUCCGUCUAUCCAAUUUCAUUUGUAGAAAAUCUAAAAUCCCUGUUUUCUUUUUCUUCUUUUGGUGUUACAGGUGCAGAUCAUUCAUCAGUUCAGAUAUUCAGAAAGGAUUUUUAUCAAGAGAUUCGACUGAGGAAUUGUAAGGUGCUCCACUUCCAAGAGGUCAGGUGCUUGCUAAAAAGGUGGUUGAACCCAAUGGUGAUCACAUAGAGGAUAAACCAGUAAGUUCCUCAGACUUUUUACUCUUGGAUGUCAUAAGACAAAAAUCAUACCAUCUGCUCAUUCGCAUGGAAAUAAGUUUUAUGUAAGCUAAUUGCAUAAAACAGCGGUGUUUUGUGAAGGUGUGGGUUAGUAGUUUCAAUGAUGGGUGGAUCGUCUCCACAUUUCCUAGUUGGGACCAGAAUGGAUUGCUCCUCGGUCACUUUUACAUCACACAUAGUGGACAUGUGAUCAUGGCCAGUGAGGUUGGUGUUGUAGACAUCUGCUAGAAGAUGUGGCCAGGAAAGGAAGACUUAACCCUGGAAUGAUGCUACUGGUAGAUUUUGAGAAUUGUAUUGUUGUUGAUGAUGAGGCCUUGAGGCAGCAAUACUCUCUAGACAGAAAAUAGAACUUGAGGAUAUCAUAAAUUCUGUUCCUGAAGCUGAUAGAGUCCCACCUACCAUAUCUGGAACGGUGCCUGUAUAUCGACAUGAUGAUAAUAACAUGGAAAACAUGGGAAUUCAUGGGUUGUUGGCUCCAUUGAAGGCUUUUGGAUACACUGUAGAAGCCCUGGAGAUGCUGUUGUUGCCUAUGGCAAAAGAUGGUACUGAGGCUCUUGGCUCAAUGGGAAAUGAUGCUCCUUUGGCUGUGAUGUCCAACAGAGAGAAACUUACAUUUGAGUAUUUCAAGCAGAUGUUUGCUCAGGUUACAAACCCACCAAUUGAUCUGAUCUGAGAGAAAAUAGUCACGUGGAAGGGGACCUUACUGGAACAGUUCAAGUGGAAGGCUAUGUGGCAGUUUGUUUGUUUUGAAAACUUUAAAUAGACCAUUAAUUGUUUUGUUGGUAUUGUGCUGAUUGUGGUCUUGAUGGAUGUUAAAUGGGUGAAACAUGCACAGGUUCAAUCAUUGGUUGAUUAUAAUAUUGUUAGCUUUUGUUGAUAGAAA